rnacentral:misc_RNA from 1 species
GAUGAAGAACGUAGUGAAAUGCGAUAAGUAGUGUGAAUUGCAGAAUUCCGUGAAUCAUCGAAUCUUUGAACGCACAUUGCGCCUUCUGGUAUUCCGGAAGGCAUGCCUGUUCAAGAGUCAUUAACAACCGUUUCGAUCCCUUUCUUUCAGAAAUUACAAAGAGGAAAAGGGUUUGGUUAUGGUGGAGGAGGGAAAGGGAGCGUUUAGCCUGUAAAAAAAGAGGCUGUGUUCCGCCUCCCCCCCAAAAUUGUACAGGCGGUCGUGUGCGCCCACGCAUCGAGGUGUUGUAAAAGCUGCCACGGCACUUUUCACCUGUGCAGUGCGAGAUUGGCCAGCCGGUUUAAAAACCCCUCCAAACAAUCAAAGGUUGACCUCGGAUCAGGUAGGGAUACCCGCUGAACUUAAGCAUAUCAAUAAGCGGAGGA